rfam:Pleurotus ostreatus PC15 unplaced genomic scaffold scaffold_09, whole genome shotgun sequence.
GGGCACUUAGCACAGUGGUAGCGCGCCUGCUUUGCACGACAAGCUCCGUGAUUGCAUGAGGCCGUGGGUUCAAUCCCCACAGUGUCCA